CAAUAGCGUAUAUUAAAGUUGUUGCAGUUAAAAAGCUCGUAGUUGGAUUUCUGGUCGGAAGCUCCUGUCCUCUGAUGAGCGUACAAGUGCGUCCUACCAUCCUUCUGUUAACCUUUAAGGCUUUCGCGGCUUUCUAGGGGCUCAGAUAUUUUACCUUGAGAAAAUUAGAGUGUUUCAGGCAGGCUAGCGCCGGAAUACAUUAGCAUGGAAUAAUGGAAUAGGACUUUUGCCUCUUCUGUUGGUCAUGAGGCUCGAGUAAUGAUUAAUAGGGAUAGUUGGGGGCAUUAGUACUUAACUGUCAGAGGUGAAAUUCUUGGAUUUUUGAAAGACGAACUACUGCGAAAGCAUUUACCAAGGAUGUUUNCAUUA
rnacentral:rRNA from 1 species